rnacentral:rRNA from 1 species
GCAUGUCUAAGUAUAAACAAAUUCAUACUGUGAAACUGCGAAUGGCUCAUUAAAUCAGUUAUAGUUUAUUUGAUGGUACCUUACUACAUGGAUAACUGUGGUAAUUCUAGAGCUAAUACAUGCUGAAAAGCCCCGACUUCCGGAAGGGGUGUAUUUAUUAGAUAAAAAACCAAUGGCGGGUAACCGUCUUGCGUUGAUUCAUGAUAACUUCUCGAAUCGCAUGGCCUUGCGCCGGCGAUGCUUCAUUCAAAUAUCUGCCCUAUCAACUUUCGAUGGUAGGAUAGAGGCCUACCAUGGUUAUGACGGGUAACGGGGAAUAAGGGUUCGAUUCCGGAGAGAGGGCCUGAGAAACGGCCCUCAGUCCUAAGGGACGCAGCAGGCGCGCAAAUUAUCCCAUCCCGACACGGGGAGAUAGUGACAAUAAAUAACAAUAUAGGGCUCUAUUGGGUCUUAUAAUUGGAAUGAGUACAAUUUAAAUCCCUUAACGAGGAUCAAUUGGAGGGCAAGUCUGGUGCCAGCAGCCGCGGUAAUUCCAGCUCCAAUAGCGUAUAUUAAAGUUGUUGCCGUUAAAAAGCUCGUAGUCGAACUUCGGCCUUUGCCGCCCGGUCCGCCCUAUGGGUGUGUACUGGAGCGGUGGAGGCUUACCUCGUGGUGAACGGCCAUGCUCUUUACUGGGUGUGGUCGGGAACCAUGAUUUUUACUUUGAAAAAAUUAGAGUGUUCAAAGCAGGCUUACGCCCGAAUACAUUAGCAUGGAAUAAUAAAAUAGGACGUGCGGUUCUAUUUUGUUGGUUUCUAGAAUCGCCGUAAUGAUUAAUAGGGAUAGUUGGGGGCAUUCGUAUUCAAUUGCUAGAGGUGAAAUUCUUGGAUUUAUUGAAGACGAACUACUGCGAAAGCAUUUGCCAAGGAUGUUUUCAUUGAUCAAGAACGAAGGUUAGGGGAUCGAAAACGAUCAGAUACCGUUGUAGUCUUAACAGUAAACGAUGCCGACUAGGGAUCGGACGAGGAUUUUUAAUGACUCGUUCGGCACCUNAAGAGAAAUCUUUAAGUCUAGGUUCGGGGGG